rnacentral:lncRNA from 1 species
UGUAUUUUCCAAUACUUUUUCAUAUAGAGAUCGUGCCUUAGACCCUACAUUUUUCGUAAAAAUCCUGUUUUAGAUUCUGCAUAUAUAUCAUAUAGAAAACCUGCCUAUAGGACUGCAUAAUCUCUGUGUUUUUGCAUUUAGAAAAUUUUCCUAUAGGACUGCAUAAUCUCUGCAUUUUUGCAUUUAGAAAAUAUGUCUAUAGGAUAUUUUUAUAAUUCUGCAUUUCAGCAUCUAGAAAGCAUGCCUAUAAGGCUUUCUGUACUUCUGCAUACAUGCGCCACUAGGCAAACCACUUUAGGCUUAGUAAUAAUCAAUCCAUUUAGAGAUCAUGUCUAUAGGACUCUUGCAACUGUUAAAGUAAUGACACUUAGAGACCAUGCCUAUAUGACUAAAUUAACUGAAUCAAUUUCAUUUUGGAAUCUACAAGCAGUCUUAAAAUCUGUAGAUCUUUUCUAAAAUCGGUAAACUUUUCUUUAAAAUCGACAUAUUAUACAUUAUUAGAUAUCCUGUCUAUAAGUUUCACCUAGGCAAGCCAGUAGGUAAUUUAUUAACAAUCUCAGUUUUAAUAACUACAUCUAGUCAGGGCUGAUUCGGACUCCAAAUAUGUGACAAAAUCAGCCCGUCCUACACUUUGUUUAUUUAAAUAUCUAAUCAGUAUUUGCAAGUCAUGCUAAAUAAUUUGCCAUUUUGAAUAAGGAGGCCCACUUGAGCCUUAUAUCUUUAUCGAAGUAAAUUAGGAUCAAAAGUUAUUUGUGGAACCAAUCCAUGUGUGCUCAAAUACUCUGCAUAUGCUUGAGUAAAUACUAUAAUGAAGCAGGAGGUUGUUCAACAAAGAAUUUUAAUUCCUGCAUACAGAUACCACAACAGUAAAUACAUGCUUGAAAUACAGAUAAGUACAACUAGGUGGUUACAAUACUUUCAUUGUAUUCAAAAUAAGUGGUUUCUGAAUUUAUAUACAGGUAUAUACAAGUAUAUUUGAAUACAUUAUUUACAUUGUAUUCAAAAUACAGUAGAGACAAGAUACGAAGCUUGAAUCAUGAGAAUAGUUGAUAUAUUAUUGUUGGUGUAUUCAAAAUAGUUAUUUUCUGAAUUCAAGUACAUAUAAAUACAACUACAUAUACAACCAAAAAAAAUCUUGUACGAACUAAAUUUAUUGUGAGAGGACAAAUACCCAGAUUCUCCAAACGUAUAAUGUAUAAAACAAUAAAAAUUGAUUCGAUGUACGUGAUAAUGUCAUUUAUAGAUUUAAUCCUUAAUUUUGUUAUUCGAAAUGUCAAAUAGCUCCUUUAGACUUGCUCAAUUUGCAUGCGCAGUCUGUGACUUUUUCUAGAAGGUUCUUAUGUAAAAAAUUGAAUAAAAGGUGAAAUCGUGCCAUAAAACUUAUUUGAGUUGACUUCUGUCAAUAUUUUGAGCAAACAAAUUUGGAUCAUUAUUUUGACGGCCUCGAUG